GCCCCGUAUAGUUAGGUGGGACAUGUAUGAAUUUUAUUUCCAAGCUUCUACAAAAGUCCUCGAAUUGUUACAUUUCCUAAUCUGUAGACGAUGUUGCUCAGGAAGUUUCUCUAAAUAUUGCCAAAGGAAGGCGGAGUAGGAGUCGUAGGGGAAUCUCCUGAUCUAUGGAAGCAUCGCAAACUCUAACCUCUCUAGACUCGUCACCAUCAUUGUCAUACCUCUGCCAAAUCAUCGUUACUAUGAAGAAAGAAGACAU
rnacentral:lncRNA from 1 species